GGGUCAGUAGCUCAAUGGCAGAGCACUUGCCUUUUAAGCAAUGAGUUGUAGGUUCGAAUCCCACCUGACCCACCA
rnacentral:tRNA from 1 species